GAGUUUGAUCAUGGCUCAGGACGAACGCUGGCGGCGUGCUUAACACAUGCAAGUCACGGGGGGUAGCAAUACUCAACCGGCGAACGGGUGCGUAACACGUGAGCAACCUACCGUCUUCAGGGGGAGUAGCCGGCCCAACGGCCGGGUAAUACCGCAUACGUUCCCGAGGGGAGUCCUCUUGGGAAGAAACCUCCGGGGAAGACGCGGGGCUCGCGGCCUAUCAGCUAGUUGGCGAGGUAACGGCUCACCAAGGCGACGACGGGUAGCUGGUCUGAGAGGAUGGCCAGCCACAUUGGGACUGAGAAACGGCCCAGACUCCUACGGGAGGCAGCAGUGGGGAAUCUUGCGCAAUGGCCGAAAGGCUGACGCAGCGACGCCGCGUGGGGGAUGAAGGGCUUCGGCUCGUAAACCCCUGUUGCCCGGGAAGAACUUCCUGAUUCGUCAGGAUUGACGGUACCGGGUGAGGAAGCACCGGCUAACUCCGUGCCAGCCGCCGCAGUAAU
rnacentral:rRNA from 1 species